CCUACGGGAGGCAGCAGUGGGGAAUCUUGCGCAAUGGGCGAAAGCCUGACGCAGCAACGCCGCGUGCGGGAAGAAGGCCUUCGGGUUGUAAACCGCUUUCAGCAGGAACGAAAAUGACGGUACCUGCAGAAGAAGGUGCGGCCAACUAUGUGCCAGCAGCCGCGGUGAUACAUAGGCACCAAGCGUUGUCCGGAUUUAUUGGGCGUAAAGAGCUCGUAGGCGGUUCAGUCAGUCGGGUGUGAAAACUCUGGGCUUAAUCCAGAGCCUGCACCCGAUACUGCUGUGACUAGAGUUCGGUAGGGGAGCGGGGAAUUCCUGGUGUAGCGGUGAAAUGCGCAGAUAUCAGGAGGAACACCGAUGGCGAAGGCACCGCUCUGGGCCGAAACUGACGCUGAGGAGCGAAAGCAUGGGUAGCAAACAGGAUCAGAUACCCUGGUAGUCCAUGCCGUAAACGUUGGGCACUAGGUGUGGGUUCCAAUCAACGGAAUCCGCGCCGUCGCUAACGCAUUAAGUGCCCCGCCUGGGGAGUACGGUCGCAAGACUAAAACUUAAAGGAAUUGACGG
rnacentral:rRNA from 1 species